AUUCUGUACUCCCUCCACCACCACAUACAGCAGCUUCCUGCACCUUUCCAUUUUUUUGUUCUCACCACACUCCUGCACCUUCUCAUUUUUUUGUUCUCAGUAAUAUUUAAUUUCUGUUUUUAUUUUUUUACCCAACAAUGAAUCACUUCAUUAAUGUCUCCACCCACCACUAUAUGAAUGAAAUUCCUCUCAAUCUUCUUCUCCCUGUGAUUUUUGUUUGCUGAAAGUGUGGUGAUGUAAUGUGGGGUUAUUAUGGUGUGUUUGGUUGGAGAUAACAAAACUUCGUUGUGGUGCAAGAAGGUACUCCAAUGAUUGGAGGAAGUGGCAAAUCUUAGUAGUGGUUAGAAGGUGGUGGGAAAGCUUCGUCUCAGUGGUAGUUGAAGGUUCACAGGUUUGAAUAUAUAAGUCUGUAAGACUGUAACAGACGUGGAUAUGAGUUGCUUUUUUAAACGCAUGUCAAUAUCCACUUAGUGGCAAUGUGAGUGUCACUCAAAUUGAACUGUACGAUUCAUGCUGAAUGACAUUGCAUGUCAGAUUCUUCCAACCCCACAACGGGAUUCAGACACUUUCUCAUUCCUUCUAAUGCUUAGGGCGCCGGAGCUGAAGUCAAAGCGUCGGAAUAACCUUCUGGUGGCUGUGAUAUUGCUGAACCAGGAUAUCUCGGAGGCAAACCUGCCGGAAUAUAACCUUUCCACUCAGAUUCCUCUUCUGAAGAACCAACAGGCGAAGUGGUCGAUGCCGGAGCCUCAACCGGGGGAACGCGCAACGAAGCGAAAUUCAGAACUGGAGCAAGAACUGGUUGGUUCGACGGCGAGUUAGGACUGCUUCUUGAACGAAUCGGAGGAGUCAACUGCGCCGACGAAGGCGAAGGAGAAUGAGAAGGAUAAACGUUGGAUCGGGGGCUAAGAAUUCCGGCGAGGGACGACGUGGAAACGGAGCGUGUCAAUGUAAGUGGAGGCAGUCUGAGUCAUGUCGAGGGCGAAGAGGGAUGCGUCUGUGGGAGCGAAGAAGGUGAAGGGGCGCGAGGUGGCAUUGUUGUCGUUCUGGUGAGAGAGAAUGUCCAUUUGAAGUUGGGAGAAGAUGGGGUGGUGGAGGGAGUAAAUCUCUUCUGCAUUGCACAAGUUGGGCCGCUAGGAUUGGGUUGCUGAGAUUGGGCUGCUGUUAAUGGAAUGACAGUGUUUUGGCUGCUGUUUCCCUGGGAAUUUUGCACUGAGACUUCAUUUUGGCAAAGAGCCCUCGAGCUAGGAUUUUGCAAAAGGGAAAACGAGAGAGAACGAAAGAGAAAGUGGAGCUCUAGGGCUCAAGGGCCACUUACCCAGAGGAAGACUGGAGGCACGUGCGGAGUUCGAACCGGCGAAGUUAAAGAAGUUGAUCGAAGGGCUGAAGAUCAAGAAGGAGGGAGAAGCGUCCGAUUGAAGAAGAGCGCGAAGCGUCGAAGAGGCUCAAUGUUCUAUCUCAGUAAAAUUGAACACAAAUUGCCCCUGCCUCCUCCUCGUCUUGUUCGUCCCAUUCGAGAAGCCAUUCACAUGGAGCUUGAAAAACUUUUCUUAGAUAAGGUUAUAGCAAACUUGGGCCUUUGCAUUUCUGUAUAUGAUAUCAUAUCCAUUGACGGUGGAUUUAUCUUUCCAGGUGAUGGGGCUCCGACCUAUACGGUCGUAUUCAAUAUAAUUAUGUUUCGUCCAUUUGUGGGGGAAAUUAUCACUGCAAGGCUUAUUUCAUCUGAUUCUAAUGGCUUACAAUUAAGUCUUGGAUUCUUUGAUGAUAUUUUUGUCCCUGCACAUCAUAUGCCCUACCCAAACCACUUUGUUGAGGAUGAACAAGGAAAAAGGGUAUCCUUUAGCGAAGAGUCAACAACUAAUUCUUUGAGGAAAGGCGUAUGGUUUUGGGAUUUUAACGAACAAGAAUAUCCUAUUCAAGAAACUGACGUGAUCAAAUUUCGUGUUCAAAAUGUUAGUUAUCCACAAAUUCCGAUCGAGCAACCAAAAGAAUCAAAGCCAUUUGCACCUAUGUUGGUUACUGAACGUUCCCUGCGCCGUGAGUUUCAAUAUGAACCGAACCGAUCCAAGUUCUGUAACCGACUUAGUUGAAGAGCGUAAGAAAGAUCGUGGAGGGUAGAAAGCCAUAGUUGGGCAAGUCCAAGUUAUACCAUUAGACGUACACUGCUAUCCAGGAUAUUCUUUGGAGGAAAAACGAAAUUGGACAUAGUAUAUCGGGUGAUCGGAGACCUCUUUGGACCUUGAAACCUUGAGGAAGAGACAAGAAGAAAAGGAGUGAAACACUUUAGAGAGGAACACACAUUAUUUAUUUGUAUUACGCAUUUUUGAGUUGUAAAAUUGUAUUGCUUUUGGAUUUGUAACUCAUAACCUUGUUAGGUAUCUUGGGGUAGUCUGUGAUACUCAAUCCCAUAUCCUAACAAAGACUUGUAAACCAUAUUGAAAACGUUUUUUAUUGGUUAAAGUUUGAAGGUUCCAAAGUGCCUUCUAACUUUACCAUUAGGCCGCAUAGUCUAGUUUAAUUGUUGUCUUUAACUGCUUAUAAUUUAUUGUGUGUCUACUUGUGUAUCAAACCUAAUUCCAUUUGAGAAGUUUGGUGCAAGAGAACUUGAGGUAAACUUUGGCUAGGAAAGGCUUGGAUUUUAAGUGAUCCUUAGUGAUUCUCCUCUCUUUCCUGGAAGUGAACUUGAGAUUAUUUUGCCUCCUUAAAUCUCUAAAGGAAUUUACUUUUGAAAUACAAGUUUGUGUGUGCAUUACAUAUUUUGAAUUUUUUUUUUAAGAAUGUCUAAGGAACCUUCUUACCAAAUUGAUAGUGAUUAUAGUGAAGAGGCCCAACCAAAUUUAGAACAAAUGGCCAAGGAACUAAAAUCACUAAAACUUUGGCAAAAGCAAGAAUCCAUUUUGAAAGAAAAAGAAAGAGUUGAAAGAGAACAAUAUCUUGAAACCUUAGAAGAAGAACUUAGAGUUCUAGCCCAAAAACAAGAAAAGGUCCAAGAAGAGAUAAAGAAAAGUAGGAGUAGGAGUCACUCAAGGAGAAGUUCAAAAAAUCCCACAGAAAACACAUACCCUGAACAAGAUAGUAGGACUGCUGCACAAUUCUACCAACAUCCUCCACCUAGAAGGUAUAGAAGGGAGAGUGAACAACCACCAAGAGAGAUUAGGAUAGACCUUCCUCAUUUCCAUGGGAAAGAAGAUGUUGAGGCAUACCUAGAUUGGGAAAUGAAAGUAGAACAACUUUUUGAGUGUCAUCAAAUAAUAGAGGAAAGGAAAGUUUCCCUAGCCACCUUAAGCUUUCAAGGGAAUGCCAUGUAUUGGUGGACUGCCCUAGUGAGAGAAAGAAGACUCUCCAAUUCCCCUCAAGUCCAAUAUUGGAAUGACUUGAAGAGUGCUCUAAGAAGAA